UACGUAGGGGGCAAGCGUUGUCCGGAUUUAUUGGGCGUAAAGAGCGUGUAGGCGGCCAUACAGGUCAGCUGUGAAAACUCGAGGCUCAACCUCGAGACGUCGGUUGAAACCGUAUGGCUAGAGUCCGGAAGAGGAGAGUGGAAUUCCCGGUGUAGCGGUGAAAUGCGCAGAUAUCGGGAAGAACACCGGUGGCGAAGGCGGGUCUCUGGGAAGUAACUGACGCUGAGAAGCGAAAGCAUGGGUAGCAAACAGG
rnacentral:rRNA from 1 species